rnacentral:rRNA from 1 species
GAUGAACGCUGGCGGCGUGCCUAAUACAUGCAAGUCGAGCGAACAGACGAGGAGCUUGCUCCUCUGACGUUAGCGGCGGACGGGUGAGUAACACGUGGAUAACCUACCUAUAAGACUGGGAUAACUUCGGGAAACCGGAGCUAAUACCGGAUAAUAUAUUGAACCGCAUGGUUCAAUAGUGAAAGACGGUUUUGCUGUCACUUAUAGAUGGAUCCGCGCCGCAUUAGCUAGUUGGUAAGGUAACGGCUUACCAAGGCGACGAUGCGUAGCCGACCUGAGAGGGUGAUCGGCCACACUGGAACUGAGACACGGUCCAGACUCCUACGGGAGGCAGCAGUAGGGAAUCUUCCGCAAUGGGCGAAAGCUUGACGGAGCAACGCCGCGUGAGUGAUGAAGGUCUUCGGAUCGUAAAACUCUGUUAUUAGGGAAGAACAAAUGUGUAAGUAACUAUGCACGUCUUGACGGUUCCUAAUCAGAAAGCCACGGCUAACUACGUG